UAUUGGUCAAUGGCCGGAAGGCUGAACCAGCCAAGCCGCGUGAGGGAAGACGGCCCUACGGGUUGUAAACCUCUUUAGCCGGGGAACAAGGCGCGGGACGCGUCCCGCCGUGAGCGUACCCGGAGAAUAAACAUCGGCUAACUCCGUGCCAGCAGCCGCGGUAAUACGGAGGAUGCGAGCGUUAUCCGGAUUUAUUGGGUUUAAAGGGUGCGUAGGCUGUGAGGUAAGUCAGCGGUGAAAUGCCCCCGCUCAACGGGGUGAAGUGCCAUUGAUACUGCCUUGCUGGAAUGCGGAUGCCGUGGGAGGAAUGUGUGGUGUAGCGGUGAAAUGCAUAGAUAUCACACAGAACACCGAUUGCGAAGGCAUCUCACGAAUCCGCGAUUGACGCUGAUGCACGAAAGCGUGGGUAUCAAACGGG
rnacentral:rRNA from 1 species